rnacentral:rRNA from 1 species
UACGUAGGGUGCGAGCGUUAAUCGGAAUUACUGGGCGUAAAGCGUGCGCAGGCGGUGAUGUAAGACAGGUGUGAAAUCCCCGGGCUUAACCUGGGAACUGCAUUUGUGACUGCAUCGCUGGAGUGCGGCAGAGGGGGAUGGAAUUCCGCGUGUAGCAGUGAAAUGCGUAGAUAUGCGGAGGAACACCGAUGGCGAAGGCAAUCCCCUGGGCCUGCACUGACGCUCAUGCACGAAAGCUAGGGGAGCAAACAGG